GACGAACCGUGCGAACGUUGUUCGGAAUCACUGGGCUUAAAGGGCGCGUAGGCGGGUGUGCAAGUCUGUGGUGAAAGCCUCCAGCUUAACUGGAGAAGUGCCGUGGAUACUGCACAUCUUGAGGAGGGUAGGGGCAUCUGGAACGGUCGGUGGAGCGGUGAAAUGCGUUGAUAUCGACCGGAACUCCGGUGGCGAAGGCGAGGUGCUGGACCGAGACUGACGCUGAGGCGCGAAAGCGUGGGGAGCAAACAGG
rnacentral:rRNA from 1 species